GCAGAGCGGGGAUUCUGGCGAGUGCACACCCCAGCUACCAUCCGCCUCACCCUAUGGAAGCCUUGGAACCUGGUCGCUGCGCAGAUGCCUUCGGGAGCCAGAAGCAAAGGGGAAAUUGACAUAACUCCGGAGAAGCAGGUACUGAAUGCCUAACCUCAGCAGCAGCUUGGCCACCAUGAGAUUCUUUGAUCACACCCCACCACUACACCUAUGGAGACCUAAUCCAUUCUCAUUGACAGCAUUAGAGGAUCCAAAUGGUGCUAUGUGUUGGAAGCUGCCUGUGGAAUUAAAAGCAGCAUAGCCAUAGGAAGGAUCAUCCAUGCUGCUGCCCAGUCUUCUGGAACUCCCAGACAGCGAGAGUGUAGACUGCCUGCUCUGCUGCAGGGGGAUGGCCCUGCAAGGUGACCCCUGGAGGUGUUGGCAGCGUGAAGAGUGGCAGCCUCUGAUGAGGAGCUUCUGGUGGUUUCUGAGGAGUGAGGGAAGCCUGUUACAUGGAGGGAAUUUUUUUUUCUCUCUUUUGAGGUUGGGGCUGGGAGGGGAGGCAAGCAGCACCUGCUCUGCACACUCAGGCACAAAGCGUUUGCCGAGCUCUUCUUUGAGGCUGGCCCUUCCAGAGGGGCAGGCAGAGGUUCAAAAUGCACGUCUGCAUCCCGCAAAGGGAUUUCCAGAGCUGCUAGAGAUCUACGGUGGUCUGAAGACAACGGGUGCACUCUGUCAGCAGAAUGUUGCAUUAUACAACAAAGUCUUUGCAGAGGUGCUCAGCUAAGGCUCACCUAGGUUCGCUCCUUACGCAUUAAAUGUUAUUCUGUGUUCCUGGCACAAGAGAGAGGCUGGGGGGGGGGGAGGGAGGGUUUACAAUGGCGCAUGCACAAGACGUUGCUGGCGAUGGGAAGCAGCGACAAACACAGGAACAUCUGGCCAUCAGCAGGAGCUGCAGGGGCAAGGACCAGGCUCUUGGCUACGAACUGUAGUGGGAAGGUGGCUUGAUUUUCACCCAGCUAAAAAAAAAUAAAAAUAAAAAAUAAGCAGUUGGACUUCCCAGAACUGCUAGAGAAUAAGUCUAUGUUGCUUUAUGUCUCCAGAUGCAUGGUAAUUUGUUACAGUAGCGCCAGGGCCAGCCUUGCAGAUUAAGUGGAAACCUAGGUCUGAAGACAAUUCAGGUAAGUGGAGUUACAUCCAUUCCCCUGUGAAAUACAUAUUGAGUGACCAGAAUGGUCCAGGCACAGGAGCUGUGAACAUCGGAUGAGAAGUGUCUUAGGUACAGUUCUUUUGCUUUGAAGAGACACCAUGACCAAGGAAACUCUUUAAAAAAAGGAUUUAAUUAGGGCUUGCUUACAGUUUCAGAGGUCUAGUCCAUUAUCGUCAUGAUGGGAAAGCAUGGUGGCCCAGAUGGCAGUGGAGACCUACAUCCUGAUUCACUGGCUGAAGGUAGGAGAGAGAGAGAGGAAGAAGGAGAAGGAGAGGGAGAGAGAGAGAGAAAGCAAGCACGCAGGAGCACAAGCCUGGGCCUCUUAUGGACUUUUGAAACCUCUAAGCCCACCCCCAGUAAUACACUUUCCAACAAAGUCAUGCCUUCUAAUACUUCUAAUCCUUUCAAAAGUUCCAAUCCCUGUGAGUAAGCAUAAAAUAUAUGAGCCUAUGGUGGCCAUACUCACUGCAGAAAUUAUUGACAUGUGAUCUUUGUUAUAAUAAUGCUUUCAAGAGAACAUGCAAGGGUGAGGUGGAGUUGAAGAGAGAAAGGACUAGGGAGGAGGACGGCCUUUCAGAUGGGCUAUCCUGAGAUCCAAACCCUAAAUAUCAAGGCAGCCCUGGCAACUGGAGAAAGCUUUCUGAGAGGAAGGAGCUGUCAGUGCAAAGGCCCUGUGGUGGAGUGAACCAGCUGGAGCAUACCCCUGUGAGUAAGUGUGGAGAGCCUCUGUCGGGGGAGGCUGCUGCCGUCUGUCUGUGUCCUGCCUUGGAGCUAGCCUAGAAGAAAACACGUAAGUAUGCUGUAACAGGCACACAGUGUGUGUAAAGUGGACUAUUUGGAAUUUAACUGGAGUCAUGGUUUGGGCUUUAAACUAUGCUGGCCACUUUGACCAAAACCCCAAUGAUGAAAUUGAACAGGGACACAAUUAUCUUCCUAAGUCAGCAAAGGGAACCCACACACUGAGUGUGUUGUUUGUGCAAAGGCCCCAGAGCUCAACAUCAGCAAGUGUGAUACGGCAAAGCUGUCGGCAAAGGUGGCAUGCACCUGAAGCCACUCUCGAGAACAGGGAACACCUCAAGGGGAUGAGCUGUCCCUGGGUAGCACAGUUUAUGAGGUCAUGGAAACAAACCGUUUAUUCAUUUAUUCAUUCAAUUAAGAAAUGUUUAAUGAGCACCUAUCCAGUCCCCAACACAAACUAGGCUUUGGGGAAAUGACAGUGAGAAGGCUGUAGAUGGCACUAACUUCACAGAAGUUACUGGAGAGAGGCACAGGUUUGCUGUGUAAUUACUACUUUCUAAUAUAUUAAAGUUUUUAGAUUAUGAACUCAUUGUUCAUAAUAAAACAGCAAAAAAAAGUUAUUAUAGAAAUAUAUAGCAACUGGGUGAUGGUGGUACAUGCCUUUAAUCCCAGUACUCAGGAGACAGAGGCAGGAGGAUCUCUGAGUUAGAGGUCAGCUUGAUCUACAGAGCAAGUUCCAGGACAGCCAGAGCUACAACAGAGAAACUCUGUCUCAGAAAACAAAAACAAACAAAGAAAAUCAUAGUCUUCUGAAAGUAUUUUUUAGUUGUGAAUGUUCUCCUUACACAAACGCUCAUUUCUUUUUAAGGGCUGAGUAAUAUUCUGUGCUCUGAAUGCAGCACACUUUAAGUAUGGUCUUCUUGGUAGAUCUCGUCUCUGCUAUAAACAGCAUGCAAAGGAAAUUACUCUGCAAGUCUUUAUACAGGCUGUGGGUGCAUUUAAAAAAAAAGAUUUUAUUUGUUCAUUUUAUGUGGAUGAGUGCUCUAUCUGCAUGUACACCUGCAGGCCAGAAGAGGGCAUCAGACCCCAGUGUGAGCCACCAUGUGUUUGCUGGGAAGUGAACUCAGGGCCUCUGGAAGAGCAGACAGUGUUCUUAACCGCUAAGCCAUCUCUCCAGCCCCUGUGGGUGCAUUUUAAAGGACAAACUCACAGAAGUGAAAUGUGGGUCCAAGGGGCCUGAGUACUUUAGUGAGUACAGAGUGAAGGAAGUACUGAGGUGGUCACGCGCGAGUCCCGCAGCCUCAGCAGCACAGGUAUCACCUGGGCCUGUCUGAUGGCAGUGACAGCUUGUUGUUUAACCUGGAAUUCAGCUGACAAUAAGCAGCCUCCUGGGAGCUAGUCCAGGGCCUCAGAAACUGUGUGUUGUGACCCCCAUAAUGGGUCACGCGGCUACAUUUGAACACCUAAAAGACUUUGGCCAUGGUAAAAGCUCACUGAAUGUGCAACAAGCAAAAGGUAACUAUUCUAAACCACACGGCCCUGUGCUCCUGGCAGCGCCCACGGGUGCAGCGUCACUUGCUCUCAUGCGGCCUUCAUUCUGAGCGCAUGACACCCUUUGCUGAUGGUUCCUGCUGGGAAAGGCCUGGGUCAGAUUUGAGCUAUGGUCGCUAUAAAUGGUGGUGUUCCACAGGACGUGCAAAAGUCUCUUCUCUUACAGACACGUCAGGGUUGAAUUGCGGAAAACAAAGAGACGUUUUCCUGCCACCGUGCCUGUGCACAUGGCACAGCUUGUCCUUGGCUGUUUUGUGUUAGAAGGUUUGAGUUGCUGAUUUGAGUUUCAUAGAAAUCAGCCCAUGAGUUCCGGUGUGGGGUUAGGACAGACUCUCUAAUAAUUCUGAAGUGGCCCCAAUCAUACUCCUGGCAUUUUGUACAGCGCAUUUGUGACAGGCAGCAUUCUCAGUAUUGACAGUUAUAAAAUCAAAAUAUUUGACCAACUCUGAAAGAUGUUGGAGACGCUGUAGGUCCUGCAAUAUCAAAUAUUCAGCCAAGACUUGAUUCAUUUAUGUAAGCAAGUACGGUGUUGAAUUAAUAUGCAAAUUUGCUUUCAUCAUUAAUAAAUAGUAAAAUUACAUGUGUACCACAGAAUUGCUUUAACAAUAAAUUUCUUUAUGAUUUA